AGCAAAAUUUAAAAAAUUGUUUUAUUUUAAUGCGAAAUUGUUGCAAUUAGUUCCUUUUCACUCAAACAAUGCUUUAAAUUAAAAAAAGGUAAAAAAUAAUGAAAAAAAUUGAAAAAAUCUAUAAAUCUGUCAAUCCACUAAGGCUCAUUUUCGCACCAAGUUUUGCCUAUAACUCGGUCGGUAUCCAACGGAUCGCCAAUCUUUAACCUGUGGUCGAUAGAUGGCACCAAUGGCUACAUUUUCUUCUUGGACGGCCAUGCCCUCAGAUGUCUGUGCCAGAAGUUAUGCGAGGAACCAAGUUCCUUACCCUGUUUGAGAAAAUGUAAAAUUUUCCUCAUUUUCGCACCAAAUUUUGCCUAUAACUCGGUCGGUAUCUAACGGAUCUCCAAUCUUUGCCUGUGGUCGAUAGAUGGCAUCAAUGGCUACAUUUUCUUCUUGGACGGCCAUGCCCUCAGAUGUCUGUGCCAGAAGUUAUUCGAGAAACCAAGUUCCUUACCCUGUUUGAGAAAAUGUAAAAUGUUCCUCAUUUUUCUGCAAUUCAGCAAAAUUUUCAAAUGUGAUAUAUUUUAUUACGAAUUUGUUGCAAUAAGUUUCUUUUCACUCAAAUAUUGCUUUAAAUUAAAAAAAGAAUAAAAAAUCAGAAAAAAAAUUCAAAACAAUUUUCCACUCGAAAAUUUCAUAAGGGGUACCCCUUGCCAUUUUUUUGAGAAAUUUAGCAAAAUUUUAAAAUUUGUUUUAUUUUAAUGCGAAAUUGUUGCAAUUAGUUCCUUUUCACUCAAACAAUGCUUUAAAUUAAAAAAAAGUAAAAAAUAAUGAAAAAAUUGAAAAAAUCUAUAAAUCUGUCAAUCCAGUAAGGCUCAUUUUCGCACCAAGUUUUGCCUAUAACUCGGUCGGUAUCCAACGGAUCGCCAAUCUUUAACC